rnacentral:tRNA from 1 species
GGUACCGCGUUUAAAGGUUAAACAGUGUGAUUGCAAAUCAUACUUCAAUGAGUUCGAUUCUCAUCGGUACUU